rnacentral:rRNA from 1 species
GAUGAACGCUGGCGGCGUGCCUAAUACAUGCAAGUCGAGCGAACGGACGAGAAGCUUGCUUCUCUGAUGUUAGCGGCGGACGGGUGAGUAACACGCGGAUAACCUACCUAUAAUACUGGGAUAACUUCGGGAAACCGUAGCUAAUACCGGAUAAUAUUUUGAACCGCAUGGUUCAAAAGUGAAAGACGGUCUUGCUGUCACUUAUAGAUGGAUCCGCGCUGCAUUAGCUAGUUGGUAAGGUAACGGCUUACCAAGGCAACGAUGCAUAGCCGACCUGAGAGGGUGAUCGGCCACCCUGGAACUGGGACGCGGUCCAGACUCCUGCGGGAGGCAGCAGUAGGGAAUCUUCCGCAAUGGGCGAAAGCCUGACGGAGCAACGCCGCGCGAGUGAUGACGGUCUUCGGAUCGUAAAACUCUGUUAUUAGGGAAGAACAUAUGUGUAAGUAACUGUGCACAUCUUGACGGUACCUAAUCAGAAAGCCACGGCUAACUACGUG